rfam:Cephalotus follicularis DNA, scaffold: scaffold2228, isolate: St1.
GGCGGCAAGGCCGAGCGGUAAGGCAGGGGACUACAAAUCCUUUUUCGCCAGUUCAAAUCCAGGUGUCGCCU